rnacentral:rRNA from 1 species
UACGUAGGGGGCAAGCGUUGUCCGGAUUUAUUGGGCGUAAAGAGCUCGUAGGCGGCUCAGUAAGUCAGGUGUGAAAACUCCAGGCUCAACCUGGAGACGCCACCUGAUACUGCUGUGGCUAGAGUCCGGUAGGGGAGCAUGGAAUUCCUGGUGUAGCGGUGAAAUGCGCAGAUAUCAGGAGGAACACCAGUGGCGAAGGCGGUACUCUGGGCCGGAACUGACGCUGAGGAGCGAAAGCGUGGGGAGCAAACAGG